AACAUGUGGUUUAAUUCGACGCAACGCGAAGAACCUUACCUGGGUUUGACAUCCCCGGCCGACACCAGAGAUGGUGUUUUCUCUUCGGAGACCGGGUGACAGGUGCUGCAUGGCUGUCGUCAGCUCGUGUCGUGAGAUGUUGGGUUAAGUCCCGCAACGAGCGCAACCCUUGCCCUCAGUUGCCAGCAGUUCGGCUGGGCACUCUGGGGGGACUGCCGGUGACAAGCCGGAGGAAGGUGGGGAUGACGUCAAGUCCUCAUGGCCUUUAUAUCCAGGGCUACACACGUGUUACAAUGGGGGUCACAAAGGGCAGCGAAACGGUGACGUGGAGCGAAUCCCAAAAACCGUCUCAGUUCGGAUUGUACUCUGCAACUCGAGUGCAUGAAGUUGGAAUCGCUAGUAAUCGUGGAUCAGCAUGCCGCGGUGAAUACGCUCCCGGGCCUUGUACACACCGCCCGUCACACCUAUGGGUAGUUGGUUUUACCCGUAAGGCGGUGCGC
rnacentral:rRNA from 1 species